rnacentral:rRNA from 1 species
UACGAAGGGGGCUAGCGUUGCUCGGAAUGACUGGGCGUAAAGGGCGCGUAGGCGGCUUGCACAGUCAGGCGUGAAAUUCCUGGGCUCAACCUGGGGACUGUGCUUGAGACGUGUGGGCUUGAGUGGGGAAGAGGGUUGUGGAAUUCCCAGUGUAGAGGUGAAAUUCGUAGAUAUUGGGAAGAACACCGGUGGCGAAGGCGGCGACCUGGUCCUUGACUGACGCUGAGGCGCGAAAGCGUGGGGAGCAAACAGG